rnacentral:rRNA from 1 species
UACGGGGGGGGCAAGCGUUGUUCGGAAUUACUGGGCGUAAAGGGCUCGUAGGUGGCCAACUAAGUCAGACGUGAAAUCCCUCGGCUUAACCGGGGAACUGCGUCUGAUACUGGAUGGCUUGAGUUUGGGAGAGGGACGCGGAAUUCCAGGUGUAGCGGUGAAAUGCGUAGAUAUCUGGAGGAACACCGGUGGCGAAGGCGGCGUCCUGGACCAACACUGACACUGAGGAUCGAAAGCCAUGGGAGCAAACGGG